rnacentral:rRNA from 1 species
GAUGAACGCUAUCUACAGGCUUAACACAUGCAAGUCGAGGGGCAUCAGGAAGAAAGCUUGCUUUCUUUGCUGGCGACCGGCGCACGGGUGAGUAACACGUAUCCAACCUGCCCUUUACUCGGGGAUAGCCUUUCGAAAGAAAGAUUAAUACCCGAUGGCAUAAUGAUUCCGCAUGGUUUCAUUAUUAAAGGAUUCCGGUAAAGGAUGGGGAUGCGUUCCAUUAGGUUGUUGGUGAGGUAACGGCUCACCAAGCCUUCGAUGGAUAGGGGUUCUGAGAGGAAGGUCCCCCACAUUGGAACUGAGACACGGUCCAAACUCCUACGGGAGGCAGCAGUGAGGAAUAUUGGUCAAUGGGCGCUAGCCUGAACCAGCCAAGUAGCGUGAAGGAUGAAGGCUCUAUGGGUCGUAAACUUCUUUUAUAUAAGAAUAAAGUGCAGUAUGUAUACUGUUUUGUAUGUAUUAUAUGAAUAAGGAUCGGCUAACUCCGUGCCAGCAGCCGCGGUAAUACGGAGGAUCCGAGCGUUAUCCGGAUUUAUUGGGUUUAAAGGGAGCGUAGGUGGACUGGUAAGUCAGUUGUGAAAGUUUGCGGCUCAACCGUAAAAUUGCAGUUGAUACUGUCAGUCUUGAGUACAGUAGAGGUGGGCGGAAUUCGUGGUGUAGCGGUGAAAUGCUUAGAUAUCACGAAGAACUCCGAUUGCGAAGGCAGCUCACUGGACUGCAACUGACACUGAUGCUCGAAAGUGUGGGUAUCAAACAGGAUUAGAUACCCUGGUAGUCCACACAGUAAACGAUGAAUACUCGCUGUUUGCGAUAUACAGUAAGCGGCCAAGCGAAAGCAUUAAGUAUUCCACCUGGGGAGUACGCCGGCAACGGUGAAACUCAAAGGAAUUGACGGGGGCCCGCACAAGCGGAGGAACAUGUGGUUUAAUUCGAUGAUACGCGAGGAACCUUACCCGGGCUUAAAUUGCAGUGGAAUGAUGUGGAAACAUGUCAGUGAGCAAUCACCGCUGUGAAGGUGCUGCAUGGUUGUCGUCAGCUCGUGCCGUGAGGUGUCGGCUUAAGUGCCAUAACGAGCGCAACCCUUAUCUUUAGUUACUAACAGGUUAUGCUGAGGACUCUAGAGAGACUGCCGUCGUAAGAUGUGAGGAAGGUGGGGAUGACGUCAAAUCAGCACGGCCCUUACGUCCGGGGCUACACACGUGUUACAAUGGGGGGUACAGAAGGCAGCUAGCGGGUGACCGUAUGCUAAUCCCAAAAGCCUCUGUCAGUUCGGAUGGAAGUCUGCAACCCGACUUCGUGAAGCUGGAUUCGCUAGUAAUCGCGCAUCAGCCACGGCGCGGUGAAUACGUUCCCGGGCCUUGUACACACCGCCCGUCAAGCCAUGGGAGCCGGGGGUACCUGAAGUACGUAACCGCAAGGAUCGUCCUAGGGUAAAACUGGUGACUGGGGCUAAGUC